rnacentral:rRNA from 1 species
GGGGAAUAUUGCGCAAUGGGCGAAAGCCUGACGCAGCAACGCCGCGUGGGUGAUGAAGGCCUUCGGGUCGUAAAGCCCUGUCGGAGGGAACGAAUGCUCUCGAGGUUAACAGCCUCGAGAGGUGACGGUACCCUCAAAGGAAGCACCGGCUAACCCUGUGCCAGCAGCCGCGGUAAUACGUAGGGACCAAGCGUUGUUCGGAUUUACUGGGCGUAAAGGGCGCGUAGGCGGCAAUUCAAGUCAGCUGUGAAAUCUCCGGGCUUAACUCGGAACGGUCAGCUGAUACUGCUUUGCUAGAGUGCAGAAGGGGCAAUCGGAAUUCUUGGUGUAGCGGUGAAAUGCGCAGAUAUCAAGAGGAACACCUGAGGUGAAGACGGGUUGCUGGGCUGACACUGACGCUGAGGCGCGAAAGCUAGGGUAGCAA